rnacentral:rRNA from 1 species
UACGGAGGAUCCAAGCGUUAUCCGGAUUUAUUGGGUUUAAAGGGUGCGUAGGUGGCCUUUUAAGUCAGGGGUGAAAGACGGUAGCUUAACUAUCGCAGUGCCUUUGAUACUGAAGAGCUUGAAUGAACUAGAGGUAGGCGGAAUGUGACAAGUAGCGGUGAAAUGCAUAGAUAUGUCACAGAACACCGAUUGCGAAGGCAGCUUACUAUGGUUUUAUUGACACUGAGGCACGAAAGCGUGGGGAUCAAACAGG